AUGGCUCAGGAUGAACGCUAGCGAUAGGCUUAACACAUGCAAGUCGAGGGGCAGCACGGUGUAGCAAUACACUGGUGGCGACCGGCGUACGGGUGCGCAACACGUAUGCAACCUACCCACUAGUGGGGGAUAACCCGGCGAAAGUCGGACUAAUACCCCAUAUUAUUCUUACCGGGCAUCCGGUAGGUCUGAAAGAUUUAUCGAUUGCGGAUGGGCAUGCGGAUGAUUAGCUAGUAGGUGGGGUAACGGCUCACCUAGGCGACGAUCAUUAGGGGUUCUGAGAGGAAGGUCCCCCACACUGGAACUGAGACACGGUCCAGACUCCUACGGGAGGCAGCAGUGAGGAAUAUUGGUCAAUGGGCGCUAGCCUGAACCAGCCAAGUCGCGUGAAGGAUGACAAGAUCUAUGGUUUGUAAACUUCUUUUGCAGGGGAGUAAAGUGCGACACGUGUGUUGUAUUGCAAGUACCCUGCGAAUAAGCAUCGGCUAACUCCGUGCCAGCCGCUGC
rnacentral:rRNA from 1 species